GAUGAAGAACGUAGCGAAAUGCGAUAACUAAUGUGAAUUGCAGAAUUCAGUGAAUCAUCGAAUCUUUGAACGCACAUUGCGCCCCUUGGUAUUCCGAGGGGCAUGCCUGUUCGAGCGUCAUUAUAACCCCUCAAGCUCAGCUUGGUGUUGGGGCCUGCUGCACUGGCAGCCCUUAAAAUCAGUGGCGGCGCCAUCUGGCUCUAAGCGUAGUAAUUCUUCUCGCUAUGGAGUCCUGGUGGAUGCUUGCCAUCAACCCCCAAUUUUUCUAUGGUUGACCUCGGAUCAGGUAGGGAUACCCGCUGAACUUAAGCAUAUCAAUAAGCGGAGGA
rnacentral:misc_RNA from 1 species